rnacentral:rRNA from 1 species
GACGUAGGGGGCGAGCGUUGUCCGGAAUCAUUGGGCGUAAAGGGCUCCUAGGCGGUUCAGUAAGUCGACUGUGAAAAUCCAAGGCUCAACCUUGGGACGCCAGUCGAUACUGCUGUGACUCGAGUUCGGUAGAGGAGUGUGGAAUUCCUGGUGUAGCGGUGAAAUGCGCAGAUAUUAGGAGGAACACCAACGGCGAAGGCAGCACUCUGGGCCGAUACUGACGCUGAAGAGCGAAAGCAUGGGGAGCAAA